UUUCCGUUUCAUAAUAAUCAACGCCUCGUUUUCUUUCCAUAUUAUCCGUCUCUCUUCAUUCUGUUUCAGUUGCAUCUUCCGUAGAGCAUUCCAUUUGCAUAGGUUGAUGUUUAUCUGCAUGGAGCUUCGGCAAAAAAACAUUAAAGGAAUUAACUGAAGUUUGAAACUCUACUGUAGUGUUACCCUUGCCUUUCUCUUCUGGGAACCCGUUGAUUAAAGAAACCGGAGGAAUCAUGCAUUUUUUCUUCCCCUAAUUAAAACCUUUUUAGCAGUUGUUUGAUGAAUUUACUGACUGAAUCAUUUUCACACGCUGGCACGCUGAAGUUCAAUCAACUGCAUGACUUAGGAAUGGUGAAGUUCAUGGAGUAAACACUGCACAUAUAGGGUAAAAAUGAUCGACAAUGUAGUACGACUCGUGGAUCGGUGGGAGACCGAUCCCCGAUCCCCAACCGAGUUACUCGCCGGGUCAAUUAAAAUGACUUUUUUAGUUUCUUUCCUAAUUUAUCUCAUAAUGUUCAUAUAAUUGAUAUACCUUCCUUAUUUCUCGUUCCUAA